CUGCACCUUACCUCUCACCUCUCACCCUUCACACUAUACCCCCUCACCCUUCACCCUUCACACUAUACUAUCAUCUCACCCUUCACCUCUCGCCCAUUCCCUCCAUCUUCGCUUUUCAUCCAAUACUCCCUCACCCUCAUCCUUCAAAUAUCAUCCAAUCCCACUAAAUCCUCCCUUCAUCCUAUCCGCUCUCACUCUUCAAACCUCAAUCUCCUCCCAUCACCAAUACCAACACCAAUAUCAACACCAACACCAAUACCAACACCAAUACAAAUACCAACACCAAUACAAAUACCAACACUAAUACCAACACUAAUACUAACACCAACAUCCCUUCAUUUUAUACUUCCUCACCCUUUACACUUCCCAUCCCUCACCAACACCCUUCGCUCCCUUCAUUCCAUCUACACCCACUACCUCCCUUCUUCUUUCCACCUGCUUGCCCUUCCCUGUGUUCCCCUUCCUCCCCUUCCUUCUACACCUGUUACCCUUCUUCCUUCCUUCCUCUCUUCUACCCUCCCCCACAAUCUUUCAUCUUCCUUCUCCCCUUUCUCUUUCUACUAUCGCCUAUCUCCCUUCCUUCCUCUUUACCCAUCUUCAUUGCCUUCCUCUUGACUCCCCUUCACUUAUCUCCCUUCCCCACCCGUCCCAUCCCCUUCCCUUCAUUGAACUCUCUUACCCUACCCCCCCAAAUCACCUGUCUACCUUUCCUCCCUUACCAAUCUCCUCUUCCCUUUCCCAUCAUCACCUGUCUUCCUUCUCCCCCUUACCAAUCAGCCCCCCUCUUCUUCUCUCCCUCCUCUUUCCUCCUGUACCAAUCACGCCUCCCUCUCCUCUCCUCUUACCUUUCCCACCUUCACCUGUGUACCUUCUCCCCCUUACCAAUCAGAAUCUCCCUCUCUCUUCUCCCCUCUUCACCUGUCUGCCUCUCCCCCUUACCAAUCAGGUCUGCCUCUCUUCGCCUCUCCCUCUUCAUUAGACACAAGUACCUGCACCACUAAUUAAGGUGUAGAGAGUGUACGAAACGACUCUUGCCGACCAAUUGCCUGAGUUAACCAGACCACCACCACCACCACCACCACCACCACUACCACCACCACCACCACCACCACCACGCCCACUACUUUUGCUACUACCACCACCACCAACAACAACAACAACAACACACCCACUACCACCAACAACAACACCACGCCCACCACCACCACCACACCCACAACCACCACCACCACUACUAUUGCUACUACUACUACUACUACUACUGUUACUACCAUUUCUGCUAUUGCUAUUGCUACUAUCGUUGUUAUUACUGCUACUAUUCAAAACUAUUUUCAUUACUACUAUUAUUACAACUACCUUCAACAUUACUACUUCUACUACUCCUACUACUACUACUACUAUUACUUCUACUACUACUACUAUUACUUCUACUACUACUACUACUACUACUACUACUACUACUACUACUGUUACUACCAUUUCUGCUUCUGCUAUUGCUACUAUCGUUGUUAUUACUGCUACAACUAUUAUUAUAUUCAAAACUAUCUUCAUUACUAAUAAUAAUAAUAAUAAUAAUGUUACUUCUACUACUACUACUACUACUACUAUUAUUUCCAGUCCCAUCAUGAAGUCUCUCCUACUUAAAUCUCCUUCAUUACCACUACCAAAACCACCAUCAACUCCUCCAUCAACUCCAGCAAGUCCCAUCCACUUGAAAACGUUCCUCAAUUACCACCACCACGGAAACGAUUACAACAAACAUUUAAUUGAUUACACCACCAUCACCCUCGCCACCACCACCACCACCCCCACCAUACUUAGCCACUCAUUACAGCACAAACCAUAACACAAUAGCCUUACCACCCCCACCACCACCAUAACAACCACAACAAUAACGAUGAUAAUAAUAAUAACGAGGCAAUUAUAUGGCUGAGGAAACAAAAGAACGUAAUGAGCACAAAAACGUUCAGCGGUUCGUAAAUUAUUUGUAUUACGAAGUGGAGUUCAGAUCCUUGUUGUGUUUACGUUGUGUUCGCUAUUAUAAUGACCGAGAAGGAAUAAUACAGCGUAUGACGUUUUUUUUUUUUCUGUUUUUUUACAACAAAGGAGACAGCUCAAGGGCACAAAAAAAAGGAAAAGGAAAAAGGACUUAUCAAAUCGACCUACUCGACAUAAUAGGAGGAAAUAUAAGUUGCUGACCCACAAACUUUAGAGGGAAAAUGAACUAGUAAAUAAAUAAAUAAAGAAAGAAAGAAAGGAAACGUUACCAAUUCAAGUGUUAAAAAAAAAAAUCCUUCCAUCGACAAAAGAAAAAAAAAUGACCCACAGACGUUAGAGGGAGAAUAAAGUAGUAAAUAAAGAAAUAAAUAAAUAAAGAAAGAAAGAAAGAUAACGUUGCCAAAUUUAAGUUUAAAAAAAAAAUCCUUCGACAGACAACGAAAGACAAAAAAUACUGACCCGCAGACAUUAGAUGGAAAAUAAACUAGUAAAGAAAGAAAGAAAGAAAGAAAGAAAGAAAGAAAGAAAGAAAACAAAAGAAACGUUACCAAUUUAAGUGUAAAAAAAAAAUUCCUUCCACCGACAACAAAAUAAAAAAAAAAUUACCGACCCACAGACGUUAGAUGGAAAAUAUAGUAAUUAGUAAAUGAAACGAAAAAUAAGGCAAGAAAAACUAAACUACUGAAUAAAGAAGGACGGAGGAAAUACAACAUUGGCAACACUACAUGAGGAGGAAAACGCUUAUUCAUUCGCCUCAUAACGUAAAAAAAAAAAAAAAAAAAAAAAAAUUACUCACUAAAAGCAAAAUACGGAAACAUACAAAUAAACAAGUCAAAAGCUAUUUAACAACGUGGGGGAAACGUUUACUCUGCCACCUUGCUUAUAAUAUACACUAAAACAAACGAAAAAAAACAGGUGGAAAAUGCGUUUAUUCUGGUGCUUCAUAACACUAAUAAAUCAAAUCGUUACUGGUUCACAAACAAUAAGGAAAGACGAACUAAUAAAUAAACACAUAAAUAGAUAAAUAAAAUAACUAGCGACUCUAUCAUGUGGGCAAAAAAAGUAGAGUUUAUCCUUACGCUUCAAAACAAAAACAAAAACAAAAAAAAACGUUACUGGUUGACAAACGAUAAAGAAAGAUAAACUAAUAAAUAAACAUAAAUAAAUAAAUAAAAUAACUAGCGACUCUAUCAUGUGGGCAAAAAAAGUAGAGUUUAUCCUUGCGCUUCAAAACAAAACAAAAAAAAUAAAAAACGUUACUGAGUUCACAAACGUUAUAGGCAGACGAACUAAUAAAUAAACAUAAGUAAAUAAAUAAAAUAACUAGCGACUCAACAAUGUGUGCAAAAAAAAAGAUGAGUUUAUCCUUGCGCUUCAUAACAAAACAAAAAUAAUAAAAAACGUUACUGAGUUCACAAACGUUAUAAAGAAAGACGAACUAAUAAAUAAACACAUAAGUAAAUAAAUAAAAUAACUAGCAACUUAACAAUGUGUACAAAAAAAGAAGAGUUUAUCCUGGCGCAUCAUAAC